rnacentral:rRNA from 1 species
UGUGACGGCGUGCCUUUUGCAUAAUGAACCUACGAGUUGCCGUCGCCGGCGAGGUUAAGCGCAACGAUGCGCGCAGCCGAAGCGAAAGCGAGUCUUAAACGGGCGCAUAGUCCGCGGCGGCAGACGCGAAACCGAGUGAUCUACCCUUGUCCAGGCUGAAGUCCGGGUAACACCGGAUGGAGGGCCGAACCAAUAAGCGUUGAAAAGCUUCUGGAUGAGGUGAGGGUAGGAGUGAAAGGCCAAUCAAACUUGGAGAUAGCUCGUACUCCCCGAAAUGCAUUUAGGUGCAGCCUCGGGAGCUCCCUGCGUGAGGUAGAGCGACUGAUCGGAUGCGAGGGCUUCACCGCCUAUCAAGUCCGGACAAACUCCGAAUGCGUGCAGGUUAGAGACGGGGAGUGAGGGCAUGGGUGCUAAGGUCCGUGCCCGAGAGGAGAAGAAUCCAGACCGCCAGCUAAGGCCCCGAAAUAUGGGUUAAGUUAAACUAACGAAGUUCGGUCCCAGUGACAGCUAGGAUGUUGGCUUGGAAGCAGCCAUUCAUUCAAAGAGUGCGUAACAGCUCACUAGUCGAGGGACGUCGCAUGGAUAAUAAUCGGGUAUGAAAUCUGUAACCGAAGCCGCGGGAUGUCUUAAGACAUCGGUAGGGGAGCAUUCCACCGGCGUUGAAUGUCGAAGAUGACUUCGGCUGGAGCUUGUGGAAAAGCAAAUGUAGGUAUAAGUAACGAUAAAGAGGGUUAGAUGCCCUCUCGCCGAAAGACCAAGGAUUCCCGGGCAACGUUAAUCGCCCCGGGGUUAGUCGGGCCCUAAGGAUAAGCCGAACGGCGAGGCCGAUGGAAGAAACGGUUAAUAUUCCGUUACUGCCUUGCAUGGCGAUGUGGAGACGGAGAAGUGACACUUCCGCGCACUGACGGAAACGUGCGUUGAAGAGUGUAGGCGUAGAUCGUGGUAGGCAAAUCCGCCGCGAGAGCCGAACUUGACAGUACGCAAAGCCUUCGGGCGGCGCGAUAGCGAAGGUAAGCAUGCUCCCGAGAAAAUCCGCUAAGCUUAACAUGCAAGGCACCCGUACCGUAAACGGACACACGUGGUCGGGUAGAAAAUACUAAGGCGCUUGGAAGAUUCACGGUUAAGGAACUAGGCAAAUUGACCCCGUACCUUCGGAAUAAGGGGUCCUCACAGCGAUGUGAGGCGCAGAGAAUAGGUCCAGGCAACUGUUUAACAAAAACACAGGGCUGUGCGAAAUUUAAAGAUGAAGUAUACAGCCUGACACCUGCCCGGUGCCGGAAGGUUAAGAGGAGAUGUCACUCGCAAGAGGAAGCAUUGAAUUGAAGCCCCGGUAAACGGCGGCCGUAACUAUAACGGUCCUAAGGUAGCGAAAUUCCUUGUCGGGU